UCUCUGAAGAUCAGUCACGAUGUUCCUCUGUCUCUUGGUGAUCUUAAUUCAGCUUAAAGAAAAUACUGCUGCAGUUGGAAUACAGCCACUCGUCUUUGAAAAGCAUGUUUUGGAGGGAGCAGAUGUGACUCUGUCCUGUAACUACAGUGCAGCUACAGGAGACACCUUCCAGUGGUAUCGUCAGUAUCCUGGAUCCAGACCAGAAUUCCUCCUUUUUUUCAAUGAGCACAAUAACGUAUCUGAACCGGCUCUUCGUCUGACAGCAGGGGCAAAUAGACCAGUGAAAUUUGUGGAUCUGAACAUCUCUCGUACUGCAAUGUCAGACUCUGCACUGUACUACUGUGCUCUGGUGCCCACAGUUACAGGAAACUCAGCUACACUGUACAAAAACACAAAGAACCUUUGA